rnacentral:rRNA from 1 species
UCCUUCUUUUUCUAGCGUUAAUCGGAAUUACUGGGCGUAAGGCGUGCGCAGGCGGAUUGUUAAGCAAGAUGUGAAAUCCCCGGGCUUAACCUGGGAAUGGCAUUUUGAACUGGCAGUCUAGAGUGUGUCAGAGGGGGGUGGAAUUCCACGUGUAGCAGUGAAAUGCGUAGAUAUGUGGAGGAACACCAAUGGCGAAGGCAGCCCCCUGGGAUAACACGGACGCUCAUGUACGAAAGCGUGGGUAGCAAACAGG